rnacentral:rRNA from 1 species
CGGUUGAUCCUGCCGGACCUGACUGCUAUCGGAUUGAUACUAAGCCAUGCGAGUCAUUGUAGCAAUACAAGGCAGACGGCACAGUAACGCGUAGUCAACCUAACCUAUGGACGGGAAUAACCUCGGGAAACUGAGAAUAAUGCCCGAUAGAACACUAUACCUGGAAUGGUUUGUGUUCCAAAUGAUUUAUCGCCGUAGGAUGGGACUGCGGCCUAUCAGUUUGUUGGUGAGGUAAUGGCCCACCAAGACUAUUACAGGUACGGGCUCUGAGAGGAGUAGCCCGGAGAUGGGUACUGAGACACGGACCCAGGCCCUAUGGGGCGCAGCAGGCGAGAAAACUUUGCAAUGUGCGAAAGCACGACAAGGUUAAUCCGAGUGAUUUGUGCUAAACGAAUCUUUUGUUAGUCCUAGAACCACUAACGAAUAAGGGGUGGGCAAGUUCUGGUGUCAGCCGCCGCGGUAAAACCAGCACCUCAAGUGGUCAGGAUGAUUAUUGGGCCUAAAGCAUCCGUAGCCGGCUCUGUAAGUUUUCGGUUAAAUCUGUACGCUUAACGUACAGGCUGCCGGGAAUACUGCAGAGCUAGGGAGUGGGAGAGGUAGACGGUACUCGGUAGGAAGGGGUAAAAUCCUUUGAUCUAUUGAUGACCACCUGUGGCGAAGGCGGUCUACCAGAACACGUCCGACGGUGAGGGAUGAAAGCUGGGGGAGCAAACCGGAUUAGAUACCCGGGUAGUCCCAGCUGUAAACUAUGCAAACUCAGUGAU